CCUACGGGUGGCUGCAGUAGGGAAUAUUGGGCAAUGGACGAAAGUCUGACCCAGCCAUGCCGCGUGCAGGAUGACUGCCCUAUGGGUUGUAAACUGCUUUUCUAUGGGAAGAAACACUCAUACGUGUAUGAACUUGACGGUACCAUAGGAAUAAGGAUCGGCUAACUCCGUGCCAGCAGCCGCGGUAAUACGGAGGAUCCAAGCGUCAUCCGGAUUCAAUGGGUUGAAAGCGUGCUAAGACGGACUACUUGAAUGCUUGCGGCUCAACCGUAAAAUUGCCUUUGAAACUGGUAGUCUUGAGUUCGGUCGAGGUGGAUGGAAUGUGUCAUGUAGCGGUGAAAUGCUUAGAUAUGACCCAGAACACCAAUUGCGAAGGCAGUUCACUAGACCGAUACUGACGCUGAGGCACGAAAGCGUGGGGAGCGAACAGGAUUAGAUACCCUAGUAGUC
rnacentral:rRNA from 1 species